UUAACGCAUCGGUUGGGAUAGAUUUGUUAAAUAAUAACGUCUGAACUAAAUAUCCGGCAAGGAAGGUUUGAAUAAGC
rnacentral:tRNA from 1 species